ensembl:lncRNA
UUAGUAGAGAGAGCAUGUGCUCCCUAAAAAUAGAACUUUUCAUCUAUGCGCUUCAGUUGAAAGCUACUGAGGACUGGACACAGUGGUUAGAAAAGUCAAUGAAUGUCAACAGUAGCCAUUUUUUGCACAUGAAGGAAUUCAGUGAAACACCUUUGCUUCAUCUGCACUCCCAUGUUGAACACCAUUCUGUCACACUGCUCCUCUACUGCCUCUACAGCAAAAGCAGCCAUUUCAGAGUGCAUUUCAUAAACAUAAGAACAGCGUUCCCGUAUAAUCAAAAACAAUGUAUGACAAACCACACUGGCAUUUCAAAGAGGCUAUGUAUCUGCUCCUUCAAAAAGAGAAAAUAGAAGGAACAUAAGGGCAACUGUGGCCUUCAGGAUGACUAUACAUGGUGUCCAAUUAUUCCACCUUUCUCCCUGUUCUAUAUUUUUCUGUAUUAUUAAAUGGACACACUGAAGAAGCUUCUUUGAACAAAGUAUCUCAAGGUGGGCCAAGGCUUUGCUGACUUUUUAAGAUGAUGAACAAGAAUAAAAAGAGGGAGGAUGUGGACCCUCUCUGGAAGGAAACUAGAAACCUGGUCACAAGGGAUACAGAUAAAAAAGAGGUGCUCAGUGACUUCAUUGGCUCAGUCUUCAUUGGCAAGGGCUCUAGCCACACUGCCCAAGUUGCAGAAAUUAAUGGUAAAAACUUGGAGAAGGAAGAUCUGCAUGGUGUAAGUGAAAAUGAGGUUUGAACCAUCUAAAGAACCUGAAGGUGCACAAGUCCAUGAGACACGACAAGAUCCAUCCAUGGGUUCAGAGGGAACUGGCAGAUGAUGUCACCAAGCCACUAUCCAUCGUAUUUGAAAGGUCAUAGCAGUCUGGUGAAGUCCCACUGACUGGAAAAGGGGAAACAUAACCCCCAUUUUCAAGAAUGGAAAAAAAAAGAAGAUCCAGGGAACUACAUGCCAAUCUCACCUCUGUGUCUGGCAAGAUCAUGGAGCAGAUCCUCCUGAAGACCCUAUUAGUGCACAUGGAAAAUAAAGACAAGAUGAUUGGUGGUAACUAACAUGACUUCACCAAGAGCAUGUCAUGUCUGACAAACCUGGUGGCCUUUAAGAUGGAAUUACAGCAUUGGUGGAUAAAGGAAGAGCAACAGACUUCAUCUACCUGGACUUGUGCAAAGCAUUUGACUCUGUUCUGCAUGACAUCCUGGUUGUCAAGGUGGAAAAAAAAAAUGGAUUUGUUGGAUGAACCACUAGCUGGAUAAGGAAUUGGCUGGAUGGCUGCACUUAGAGGGUUGCAAUCAGCAGCUCAAUGUCCAAUUGGAGAUGGUGAUGAGUGGCAUUCCUCAGGGAUUGGUGUUGGG